AAUAUAUUCACAGCUAGAUCAGCUUCUAUCAGGGAGUAAUUUUAAGUUCACAAGUUUAUGGAUUCAAUUCAAGAGAUGGAAGUCACACUUGGAAAAGCUAUAAGAUUGGGACGAUAUUCAAUAUGCAAAGCGGUGUUAUAUCCUCCUUGGAAGGCAUUGGGGGUAUAACUUCAGGUCGAGGGCAACCACGAUUCAUCAAUAACUAACGGAGGUUCUUCAGAAAGGCAGGAAGAAGAUAGUUUUCUCAACAUGAAACAAGCAAUGUUCUGAGGGCUCUAAGGACAGCUUCACCAUUCUUUCACCAACUAACCAAUCCAUAUUUUUUCCAAGUCUGGCUUACCACAAUCCCAGCUUCAGCUCAAGUGCACAUUUUUCUUCUAUAUGAGGCUUUAUGUACACUGAAAAUCUGAGACUGGAAUUGUUUAGAAUUCUAUAUUUCUGAAAGAAGCUCUUGAUUCCCAAUUAUGAUUUUAGAUGAUGAUGAUGAUGUGGCACAGCUGCAAAGAAAGCCUCUGUUUUGGAAGACUGACUAGAGUUUCAUUAAAUGCCCAAUUUCCACAAGUUUUAUGCUCUACUAAAUUCUUCAGGCCUUUUGUGUACUGAGAAUCUAAGAGUGGAGUCAUAUGUGCAUAGAUUGUUCCAAAGAAAUUAUUCAGCAAAUGGUGUGGUGUGCAUAAGAUACUUGAAUCAGUUUUUAUCAUACAUUGAUUUAUACCAUCAACGAUCGCGAAUCUGACUUCCCUAUUAGACUUGCGGUUAAGUGAAAUAUCUAAUGUAAGUUCUUCUCUUGCAUUUAUCAAGGAUAUGAAGUCUCUAAGUACCUUAGUACUUAGGAACAACAAUAUCACUGGUACAAUUCCAUCGAAUAACGGAGAGCUCCAACAGUUACAAAAUCU